GACGAACGCUGGCGGCAUGCCUAAUACAUGCAAGUCGAGCGAACAGAUGAAGUGCUUGCGCUUCUGACGUUAGCGGCGAACGGGUGAGUAACACGUAAGGAAGCUACCUAUAAGCGGGGGAUAACAUUCGGAAACGGGUGCUAAUACCGCAUAAUAUCUUCUUCCGCAUGGAAGAAGAUUGAAAGACGGCCCUGCUGGCACGUAAAGAUGACCUGGGUGUGCAUUAGUUGGUUGGUGGGGGAAUGGCCUACCAAGACGAUGAUGCAUAGCCGACCUGAGAGGGUGAUCGGCCACAUUGGGACUGAGACACGGCCCAAACUCCUACGGGAGGCAGCAGUAGGGAAUCUUCCGCAAUGGGCGAAAGCCUGACGGAGCAAUGCCGCGUGAGUGAAGAAGGCCUUCGGGUCGUAAAGCUCUGUUAUAAGAGAAGAACAAAUUGUAGAGUAACUGCUACAGUCUUGACGGUAUCUUAUCAGAAAGCCACGGCUAACUACGUGCCAGCCGCCGCCGUAA
rnacentral:rRNA from 1 species